UAUCACGGCUAGCCCUCUGAUGCAUAUCACAGUGUAUCUUGUGUCCCCCACAGAAGUAAUUUUGAACUUCCACUCUCCCUUCCUCCCCCAACCCUGCAAGGUAUAUAUCAGGUUAUUCUUUCAAUAGCCAUUUACAGCCUCAGUCUUCUUCCUCUCUCUUGCAAAAGUUAAACGGGAAGUUCUUGAAACUCAGUGUUUCCAGUUUAGCAUUUUCAAGAGAGAACUGGAACAGAUCACUGGCCCAUAGAGUAGUGCUGAAAAGAAACUCAACCCAAUGGUCCAAAUUCAUCCCAGGUGUAACUUCAUCGGUCUAUGGA